CCUACGGGUGGCAGCAGUGGGGAAUAUUGCGCAAUGGGCGAAAGCCUGACGCAGCGACGCCGCGUGAGGGAUGAAGGCCCUCGGAUCGUUAACCUCCGUUAGCAGGGAAGAACGGCCACUGUGCUAAUCAGCAGUGAAUUUACGGUACCUGUAAAGGAAGCCUCGGCUAACUCCGUGCCAGCAGCUGCGGUAAUACGGAGGGUGCGAGCGUUAAUCGGAAUUACUGGGCGUAAAGCGCUCGUAGGCGGUAUGUCAAGUGAAGGGUGAAAUCCCCGCGCUCAACGUGGGAACUGCCUUUGAGACUGGCGGACUAGAGUGUGUGAGAGGAUAGUGGAAUUCCAGGUGUAGGAGUGAAAUGCGUAGAGAUC
rnacentral:rRNA from 1 species